rnacentral:rRNA from 1 species
UAUUUUAAAGAGAGUUUGAUCCUGGCUCAGGACGAACGCUGGCGGCGUGCCUAAUACAUGCAAGUCGAACGAACGGAGGAAGAGCUUGCUCUUCCAAAGUUAGUGGCGGACGGGUGAGUAACACGUGGGCAACCUGCCUGUAAGUUGGGGAUAACUCCGGGAAACCGGGGCUAAUACCGAAUGAUAAAGUG